ACGAACGCUGGCGGCACGCUUAACACAUGCAAGUCGAACGAGAGAAGAGGAGCUUGCUUUUCUGAUCUAGUGGCGGACGGGUGAGUAACACGUGAGCAAUCUGCCUUUCAGAGGGGGAUACCGAUUGGAAACGAUCGUUAAUACCGCAUAACAUAAUUGAACCGCAUGAUUUGAUUAUCAAAGAUUUAUCGCUGAAAGAUGAGCUCGCGUCUGAUUAGCUAGUUGGUAAGGUAACGGCUUACCAAGGCGACGAUCAGUAGCCGGACUGAGAGGUUGAUCGGCCACAUUGGGACUGAGACACGGCCCAGACUCCUACGGGAGGCAGCAGUGGGGAAUAUUGCACAAUGGAGGAAACUCUGAUGCAGCGAUGCCGCGUGAGGGAAGAAGGUUUUAGGAUUGUAAACCUCUGUCUUCAGGGACGAAAAAAGACGGUACCUGAGGAGGAAGCUCCGGCUAACUACGUGCCAGCAGCCGCGGUAAUACGUAGGGAGCGAGCGUUGUCCGGAAUUACUGGGUGUAAAGGGAGCGUAGGCGGGAUCGCAAGUCAGAUGUGAAAACUAUGGGCUUAACCCAUAAACUGCAUUUGAAACUGUGGUUCUUGAGUGAAGUGGAGGUAAGCGGAAUUCCUAGUGUAGCGGUGAAAUGCGUAGAUAUUAGGAGGAACAUCAGUGGCGAAGGCGGCUUACUGGGCUUUAACUGACGCUGAGGCUCGAAAGCGUGGGGAGCAAACAGGAUUAGAUACCCUGGUAGUCCACGCCGUAAACGAUGAUUACUAGGUGUGGGGGGACUGACCCCUUCCGUGCCGCAGCAAACGCAAUAAGUAAUCCACCUGGGGAGUACGACCGCAAGGUUGAAACUCAAAGGAAUUGACGGGGGCCCGCACAAGCAGUGGAGUAUGUGGAUUAAUUCGAAGCAACGCGAAGAACCUUACCAGGUCUUGACAUCGUAUGCAUAGCUCAGAGAUGAGUGAAAUCUCUUCGGAGACAUAUAGACAGGUGGUGCAUGGUUGUCGUCAGCUCGUGUCGUGAGAUGUUGGGUUAAGUCCCGCAACGAGCGCAACCCUUACUGUUAGUUGCUACGCAAGAGCACUCUAGCAGGACUGCCGUUGACAAAACGGAGGAAGGUGGGGAUGACGUCAAAUCAUCAUGCCCCUUAUGACCUGGGCCUCACACGUACUACAAUGGCUGUCAACAGAGGGAAGCAAAGCCGCGAGGUGGAGCAAACCCCUAAAAGCAGUCUUAGUUCGGAUUGUAGGCUGCAACCCGCCUACAUGAAGUCGGAAUUGCUAGUAAUCGCAGAUCAGCAUGCUGCGGUGAAUACGUUCCCGGGCCUUGUACACACCGCCCGUCACGCCAUGGGAGUCGGUAACACCCGAAGCCUGUAGUCUAACCGCAAGGAGGACGCAGUCGAAGGUGGGAUUGAUGACUGGGGUG
rnacentral:rRNA from 1 species